rnacentral:rRNA from 1 species
UACGUAGGGUGCGAGCGUUAAUCGGAAUUACUGGGCGUAAAGCGUGCGCAGGCGGUUCGUUGUGUCGGCGGUGAAAGCCCCGGGCUUAACCUGGGAAUGGCCGUUGAAACUGGCGAACUGGAGUGUGGCAGAGGGGGGUGGAAUUCCGCGUGUAGCAGUGAAAUGCGUAGAGAUGCGGAGGAACACCGAUGGCGAAGGCAGCCCCCUGGGCUAACACUGACGCUCAGGCACGAAAGCGUGGGAGCAAACAGG